rnacentral:sRNA from 1 species
UUGAGCCAACAGCUCCUUUACGGGAGCCUCGCCUCCGCCGGCAGUGCGCAGGCCCGGCCUCCGAGUCGGGAAGCCUAAACCGGCGGGAGGGCACCCACCUGGUUGACGAGGCAUCAA